GGGCAAGCGUUGUUCGGAAUUACUGGGCGUAAAGGGCUCGUAGGCGGCCAACUAAGUCAGACGUGAAAUCCCUCGGCUUAACCGGGGAACUGCGUCUGAUACUGGAUGGCUUGAGUUUGGGAGAGGGAUGCGGAAUUCCAGGUGUAGCGGUGAAAUGCGUAGAGAUGUGGAGGAACACCGAUGGCGAAGGCAGCCCCCUGGGUCAAGAUUGACGCUCAUGCACGAAAGCGUGGGGAGCAAACAGG
rnacentral:rRNA from 1 species